CUGGAAACGGCGUCUAAUACUGGAUAUGAACCACGAAGGCAUCUUCAGUGGUUGGAAAGAUUUUUCGGUCUGGGAUGGGCUCGCGGCCUAUCAGCUUGUUGGUGAGGUAAUGGCUCACCAAGGCGUCGACGGGUAGCCGGCCUGAGAGGGUGACCGGCCACACUGGGACUGAGACACGGCCCAGACUCCUACGGGAGGCAGCAGUGGGGAAUAUUGCACAAUGGGCGGAAGCCUGAUGCAGCAACGCCGCGUGAGGGAUGACGGCCUUCGGGUUGUAAACCUCUUUUAGCAAGGAAGAAGCUUUUGUGACGGUACUUGCAGAAAAAGCGCCGGCUAACUACGUGCCAGCAGCCGCGGUAAUACGUAGGGCGCAAGCGUUAUCCGGAAUUAUUGGGCGUAAAGAGCUCGUAGGCGGUUUGUCGCGUCUGCUGUGAAAUCCCGAGGCUCAACCUCGGGCCUGCAGUGGGUACGGGCAGACUAGAGUGCGGUAGGGGAGAUUG
rnacentral:rRNA from 1 species